GGCGCUGCCCCGGCGAGGGCCCGACUUGUGGUGCGGGCAGGAGCGGCCCGAGCGCGGCCCCGCUCUGCUCGUGUCCGCCUCCCGCCGGGCGCGGCAGGGCCCGAUGGCGGCCGGGCUGGGGCCGCGGCUGCUGGCCUUGGCCUUGGCCUUGGGGCCGGCCGGUGUGAGUGCUCAAUGGAAGCUGUGGGUGUCUGGUGGAGGUGUUCGAGUACCAGGGGAAUCUGUGCACCUCUCCUGCCAGGGAUCCGGAUUCAACUUUGGAGAUUAUGAUGUCUUGUGGUACCGUCAGGCACCCAGUGGAAGUCUCGAGUGGGUGUCCUACAUCAACUAUUAUGGUAGCACAAUAAAAUAUGGCAAAGCGGUGGAGGGCCGAGCCACAGCUUCCCGGGACAAUUCCCAGUCCACGGCUUAUCUGUCCCUGCGUGCCCUGGUACCCCAGGACUCAGCCCACUACUUCUGUGCAGUUCGCACAGGGACAGGAAAUCCAGCUGAGCUUUAACACAAACCUGCUCCCAGGGCCCCUUGCCUUCUCUAAGUGUGGCACUGUGACAAAGAACAGGGAGGAGCAGCAGAACCACACUGAGCUCCUGAAGAGGGCAGAGAAUUGCCUUCAGCUCAGCCCUUUCCCACAUUGCCUGUAGGGGCCCAUGGGAUCAACAGCAGUGUCAGGGGCAAAUGGCCAGGUCAGCUGGAGUGCAGCAAGAAGAGAUGCACAGGCUUCCUCAUGAAAGGAAGUGCCGAGUGCUGCUCUUGGGUCCUAACAACGCCAUUCCGUGGGACUGACAGAUGUAACAAUCCCGUUCAGGCUUGGGGAAGAGUGGGUGGAAGGUGUGCUGGCAGACAAGGUCCAGAGGGUUUUGUUUGACAGCCAGCUGAACAUGAGCCAGCAGUGUGCCCCUGUGGCCAAGAAGGCCAAUGACAUCCUGACCUGCAUCAGAAACAGUGUGGCCAUGAGGCCUAGGGAAGUGAUUGUCCUGCUUAAGCCCCAUUUUGAUGAUUUUGUGAAUUCUCCCUGUCACACAGUGCCACGCUCUUUGCUCAGCAGCUGCAUCAGUCACUUCCUCACAGGGCUUCUGGUUCCUCUCUCCUUCCCCUCCUUCCUUCUAGUUUAAAGCCCUCCUCAUGAGGUCUGCCAUCCCCCCAGCAGGAACGUCUUUGCCGCGCUGUGUGAGACUGGGGCAGUGCGAGGAGGCCAUGGGCAGAAGCCUCUGGCUGCUGGGGUGACACACUCCUCCCCACCCUGCUCUCUGCCCCGUGCCGACCUCCUCCACCACCAGAGGCCGCAGUCCUGCGGGAGGUGGGAUGGACACUAAGUGGUAUGUUAUUUUUUAUCCUAUCCAUGAUAGGAUUUGUUAGGUAAGGUUGAUGGUUGGACUUGAUGAUCUUACGGGUCUUUUCCAGCCUUAAUGAUUCUACAGUUCUGUGAUUUCCAUGCACGUCACCAUCUGGGGAUGCAGGCUGAUUGUCAAUGACUAUAGCAUCUCAUGAUAGCAGCAUGCACACAGGUCCACAUUCCUCUGGGUCUCUCAAGAACAAAAAUUCCUAUUCCUACACCUUUGGAAGGCUGCCAUGUGUGGGUGUGCCACCACCUCCUGGACAGUUUCUAGGUGUUGAAAUAUGUUGUCCUCCAUGUCCUGCAUAUCCGGGACUCCACUUGCUACUUCUGUGCUGCCCCUAUGGGGACAGAAAGCUGAGGUGUUUCCCGACACGAACCUCCUGCUAGGGCUUGUCACCUUCUCCAUGCUCAAUCCCACACCCGAGCAAAGGGGCCAGCCUGGACAUGGGCUGGGAGAGACUGCAGCUGUGGCCUGUGCUGUGUGAUGCACCAGUAGAGGGGUGUGCAGGGAUUCUUUCAGAUUGUGGGACUACUCAAGAAAUCCCUCAUUACAAGUGAGCCAGUAUCCUGGUUUUGGCUAGGAUAGAGUUAAUUUUCCUCCAAGUGUCUGGUAGGGUGCUGUGUUUUGGACUUAGGGUGAAAUUAAUCUUGAUGACACACUGAUGUUGUAAUUGUUGCAGAGCAGUCCUUACAAGGAAGGAAGGAAGGAAGAAGGAAAGAAGGAAAGAAAGAAGGAAAGAAAGAAGGAAGGAAGGAAGGAAGGAAGGAAGGAAGGAAGGAAGGAAGGAAAGAAGGAAGGAA